AGAGUUUGAUCAUGUUCUCAGGACGAACGCUGGCGGCGUGCCUAAUACAUGCAAGUCGUGCGAAGCGGCCUGGGAGGCUUGCCUUCCGGGUCGACUUAGCGGCGGACGGGUGAGUAACGCGUGGGUAACCUACCCGCAAGACCGGGACAACCCUGGGAAACCGGGGCUAAUACCGGAUGAACCCUCUUGGUGAUGCUGAGGGGGCAAAGGUGGCCUCUACUUUUAAGCUACCGUUUGCGGAUGGGCCCGCGUCCCAUUAGCUAGUUGGUGGGGUAAGAGCCCACCAAGGCGACGAUGGGUAGCCGGUCUGAGAGGAUGGCCGGCCACACUGGGACUGAGACACGGCCCAGACUCCUACGGGAGGCAGCAGUCGGGAAUCUUGGGCAAUGGGCGAAAGCCUGACCCAGCGACGCCGCGUGGGGGACGAAGGCCUUCGGGUUGUAAACCCCUGUCUUCGGGGACGAACGAGGGGCCGGUUAAUACCCGGUCCAGGUGACGGUACCCGAGGAGGAAGCCCCGGCUAACUACGUGCCAGCAGCCGCGGUAAUACGUAGGGGGCGAGCGUUGUCCGGAAUUACUGGGCGUAAAGCGCGUGUAGGCGGUUUUGGAAGUCGGGUGUGAAACCCGCCGGCUCAACCGGCGGCCUGCACCCGAUACUCCAGGGCUUGAGGGCAGGAGAGGGAAGCGGAAUUCCCGGUGUAGCGGUGGAAUGCGUAGAUAUUGGGAGGAACACCAGUGGCGAAGGCGGCUUCCUGGUCUGCACCUGACGCUGAGACGCGAAAGCUAGGGGAGCAAACGGGAUUAGAUACCCCGGUAGUCCUAGCCGUAAACGAUGGACACUAGGUGUGGGAGGUAUCGACCCCUUCCGUGCCGCAGCUAACGCAUUAAGUGUCCCGCCUGGGGAGUACGGCCGCAAGGUUGAAACUCAAAGGAAUUGACGGGGGCCCGCACAAGCAGUGGAGCAUGUGGUUUAAUUCGAAGCAACGCGAAGAACCUUACCAGGGCUUGACAUCCCGCGAACCCUGUGGAAACACGGGGGUGCCUUCGGGAGCGCGGAGACAGGUGCUGCAUGGUUGUCGUCAGCUCGUGUCGUGAGAUGUUGGGUUAAGUCCCGCAACGAGCGCAACCCCUGUCCUUUGUUGCCAGCGGUUUGGCCGGGCACUCAAAGGAGACUGCCGGAGACGAUCCGGAGGAAGGUGGGGAUGACGUCAAAUCCUCAUGGCCCUUAUGUCCUGGGCGACACACGUGCUACAAUGGCCUGCACAGAGGGCUGCGAUGCCGUGAGGCAAAGCCAAUCCCCCAAAACAGGUCCCAGUUCGGAUUGAAGGCUGAAACCCGCCUUCAUGAAGCCGGAAUUGCUAGUAAUCGCGGAUCAGCCAUGCCGCGGUGAAUACGUUCCCGGGCCUUGUACACACCGCCCGUCACACCAUGGGAGUCGGAAACACCCGAAGUCGGUGAGCUAACCCGCAAGGGAGGCAGCCGCCGAAGGUGGGGCCGAUGACUGGGGUGAAGUCGUAACAAGGUAACCAAGGGC
rnacentral:rRNA from 1 species